CCUACGGGGGGCUGCAGUGAGGAAUAUUGGUCAAUGGACGAGAGUCUGAACCAGCCAAGUAGCGUGAAGGAUGACUGCCCUAUGGGUUGUAAACUUCUUUUAUAUGGGAAUAAAAUGUUCCACGUGUGGGAUUUUGUAUGUACCAUAUGAAUAAGGAUCGGCUAACUCAGUGCCAGCAGCCGCGGUAAUACGGAGGAUCCGAGCGUUAUCCGGAUUUAUUGGGUUUAAAGGGAGCGUAGGUGGAUUGUUAAGUCAGUUGUGAAAGUUUGCGGCUCAACCGUAAAAUUGCAGUUGAAACUGGCAGUCGUGAGUACAGUAGAGGUGGGCGGAAUUCGUGGUGUAGCGGUGAAAUGCUUAGAUAUCACGAAGAACUCCGAUUGCGAAGGCAGCUCACUGGACUGCAACUGACACUGAGGCUCGAAAGUGUGGGUAUCAAACAGGAUUAGAUACCCGUGUAGUC
rnacentral:rRNA from 1 species